GUACACAAUAUCUGGGGAUCCCUGGGGACCAUCCUGGAGGCAACCUGUCAUACCUUGUGAAUUGUUUUUUUUUUUUUUUACUUUUUUUUUUUUUUUUUUAACCUUGUGAAUUGUUAACCGACUGUGCAAAUAGCAGCCUCCAAAUGCUCCCACAAAUGUGUUCUUUGCUGGGAAGGUAGUUAUAAAUUAUUUAUCAGCCUUUCCCUCAUAGUUUUGCAAACAUGGUAACACUAUUACCUCUUUGCUCCUCAAAUGCAAAGGGCACUCCAGCGGGUAAAUGGACAGUAAUGACAACUACCUCUGCACCACAAAGAUUCCAGGUCAACCAAUGUUCAAGUGUACAUAAUGCCACUGCCCUGAAUUUGGUGCUGCGAAAAUUUAAAAGAUGA
rnacentral:lncRNA from 12 species